AUGUGUUUAUGACUCGUUAUUACGACGAAUCUGCUGUGCCAAGAGAAAUCUGAAUCACCAACGAAUCUUGCAGAGACGGCAAGCGUGAACAGGAGCAAAUUUUGGAGAAAUCUAUACAUCAAUUCUAUGCAGUGAUGUCGCAGGGUUCUGGGCCAGAACUCAUCGCAGAUAGUCAAAAAGACAGUGGAAAUAUGUGCUGUGGUCAGAUGAGUCCACAUAUCAAAUGUUUUUUGAUAUUUUUCAAAAGUUCCAAAGGGACCAUCCAGACUUUCAUCACAGACAGAUGCAAAAGCAAACGUCUGUCAUGAUACGGGCCGGGGUGAAGAAGAGCAAACAGCAUGGGUGACUGGUAUAUGUGCGAUGGUACCAUUGACAUGGAGGAAUAUAUUGGAAUUGUACAGAGACAUAUACUGCCAUCAAGAAGACAUCUUUCAUGGGAAGUCCAUGGUUUUUAGAUCAAGCCAAUGGCAAGUCUGAUUCUGCAUGUGCUACAAUAGUGUGGGUUUGUAGACACAGAGUGAAUGUGCUAGACUGGCCUGCCUGCAGUUCAGAUCUGUCUCCUAUUGAAAAUGUAUGACCAGUAAUGAAAACGAGAAUCAGACAACAACGAUCACAGACUGCUGAGCAUCUGAAGUCUUGUUUCAAGUUAGAUUGGACAAAACUUUUGCUUGCAAAACUUUAAAAAUUAGUAUCCUCAAUUCCCAAACAAUUAAACAUUGAAAGCUGAUGUGACAUUAGGAAAGUUGAUGUGACAGUGUUAAACAUGCCUCUGUUCCAACUUAUCUGGAGUGUAUAAGUUUGCCAGUGAAAACAUUGGAAUUUUUUCUUUGUACUUAAGUCAGUUACAAUAAAUAAUGGUUAAAGAGAAUUAACAAAUAACAUACGCUUUAUUUUAUGGCAUUUCACAAAAUUUCCCAACUUUUCUGGAAUUGGGUUGUAUAUAGAUAACUAGACUACCAAUAUUUGACAUGCAAAUUAUGUUUGAAUGUAAAUUUUUUUAUUAUUAUUAUUUGCGCUCCAUAGACACCAUUGCGUAUUUUUAUGAAUUCUUGAAUGUGUUAUUUUUUUUUUUGCUAGUACAUUUUUAAUGUGCAUUUUUAUAUUUAGCAGUGUGAAAAGAUCAAAUGCUUAACAAAAUGUAAAGUGUCUUAAAGCGUUGUAGGGCCUGUUCAAAUACAAAGUAUUUUUGUAAAUAUUCCCAAGACAGAUGCGUUUGACCAUUGCACUCAUGUUUUGCAUCUGUGUCUUACACAUGACAGAGCUCUAAAAAUGACCAUUCCUAAAGUUAAAAGUUCAACUUUAAAAAAAAAAAAAUCUCUCUAAACCUUGAUUUAUUUCCAUUCCACUGCCCUGUGCCUUGUGUUUUAAAUGCAAAAAUGCUUACUGUGCAAAUUACACCUAAUUACUUCAAUUAUAUCAUCGCUAACAUAAACACAAAGGUUUGGUUGGGUUUGUGUGGUACUAUUUCAGGAAUAUCAUCAAUAUAUCAUACAAUCUGACAUACAGAACCAUUGACGUCACACAUUCCGUCUUUGCUUUUCACCAAGUUCACACUGGGAUUAGACUUGUGCCGGUAUUCGGUAAUGCGAUAUAUCGCGGUAAUGAAUAUGCACGGUAUUGUUAUCGUGGGCACUUCUAAAUACCAUGAAUAAUUAUAUAUUACAAAU